rnacentral:rRNA from 1 species
AAACCAGCACCUCAAGUGGUCAGGAGGAUUAUUGAGCCUAAAGCAUCCGUAGCCUGUUCUGUAAGUUUUCGGUUAAAUCCAUUAGCUCAACUAAUGGGCUGCCGAAAAUACUGUAGAACUAGGGAGUGGGAGAGGUAGACGGUAUUCGGUAGGAAGGGGUAAAAUCCUUUGAUCUAUUGAGGACCACCUGUGGCGAAGGCGGUCUACCAGAACACGUUCGACGGUGAGGGAUGAAAGCUGGGGGAGCAAACCGGAUUAGAAACCCGAGUAGUCC